rnacentral:rRNA from 1 species
UGGGGAAUAUUGCACAAUGGGCGCAAGCCUGAUGCAGCCAUGCCGCGUGUGUGAAGAAGGCCUUCGGGUUGUAAAGCACUUUCAGCGGGGAGGAAGGCGUUAAGGUUAAUAACCUUGGCGAUUGACGUUACCCGCAGAAGAAGCACCGGCUAACUCCGUGCCAGCAGCCGCGGUAAUACGGAGGGUGCAAGCGUUAAUCGGAGUUACUGGGCGUAAAGCGCACGCAGGCGGUCUGUCAAGUCGGAUGUGAAAUCCCCGGGCUCAACCUGGGAACUGCAUUCGAAACUGGCAGGCUAGAGUCUUGUAGAGGGGGGUAGAAUUCCAGGUGUAGCGGUGAAAUGCGUAGAGAUCUGGAGGAAUACCGGUGGCGAAGGCGGCCCCCUGGACAAAGACUGACGCUCAGGUGCGAAAGCGUGGGGAGCAAACAGG